AUUGCCCAAAUCUUGUUUCUUUCCCGAAAGAUGGGCUUCCUUACCACUUAAUUAGAAGUCGUUAUCAGAGGAUGUGAGAAACUACAAGCCCUACCUAGUCACAUGUAUUCUUUCCCAAACAAGAUAUUCCCUCCAAUCUAACAUCACUUGACGUUGAUGAUCCCCAAAUGCAGUGUCUUUUCCAGAGGACGAGCUGCCAGCCUCUCUAAUUUAUUUGACAAUCAGAAGAUUCCCGCAGUAGAAAUACCUAUCUCCCAAGGGUUUUCAAAAUCUCACCUCCCUCGAAUGGUUGUCUAUCAUUGAUUGCCCAAAUCUUACAUCCUUGCCAGACCUUCCGUCCUCGCUUCUGCAGCUAUUUAUUAGUAGAUGUCCUUUACUGAAACAACGAUGCAAAAGGGAAGAAGGACAAGAGUGGUCUCAGAUAGCGAACAUUCCUUUCGUAUUGAAGUUUCUAAAUAAGCCAGAGGAGGAAGAAUGAAGUCAAUUUGAUUUCAGGAACAAUUAAAAAGGCUGAAUGGUCAAUUACCUCACUUCAUUCUCGUGGACUAUUCAGGAACCAACUGAAAGGUAUGACCUCCGGGAUGAAAUAUGCCAACUUCUUAAUGUCAGUGGUCAAGCUUUUAGUUGCCUUCCGAGUUGUGGUGACUCCAGGCUGCUGGCCUACCAUUGUUUUGUUAAAGUUUCUGCUUCUGGCUUGCCGAGCUUCUGCUUUCUGCAAUUUUUUUAGAGGUGUUUCUGCUCAAAUGUGUGAAAUUUGGUAGCUGAAGAUUCUGUUAAAGCCUUUCCAAGGUUGUAAUAUGCUAGUUCUCACUUGUGCAAAAAACAGUGUAAAUGGGACUAAGGACAAGAGUUGUUCAAGAAUGAACUCCAUUUGGUCUCACAAACGAACAAAGAGACUGAAUCCACUAAUUCCUCUUUUCAUGUUUCUACUAUUUUCAGGUCUGUCAAUUUCUAGCACCUAAACUGUACCAAUUGCAGAUUUUUAUGAAACAGAGUCUUGAUUAUGUCAUGCUUGCAGGAAGCAAAAAAUUUCAGGAUACAUUUCAAAAUUGUGAUGGCAGUGG